UACGUAGGCAGCAAGCGUUGUUCGGAGUUACUGGGCGUAAAGGGUGCGUAGGCGGCUUUUUAAGUUUGGUGUGAAAUCUCCCGGCUCAACUGGGAGGGUGCGCCGAAUACUGAGAGGCUAGAGUGCGGGAGAGGAAAGUGGAAUUCCUGGUGUAGCGGUGAAAUGCGUAGAUAUCAGGAGGAACACCGGUGGUGUAAACGGCUUUCUGGACCGUAACUGACGCUGAUGCACGAGAGCGUGGGUAGCAAACAGG
rnacentral:rRNA from 1 species